rnacentral:rRNA from 1 species
AUUGAACGCUGGCGGCAGGCCUAACACAUGCAAGUCGAGCGGAUGAAGGGAGCUUGCUCCUGGAUUCAGCGGCGGACGGGUGAGUAAUGCCUAGGAAUCUGCCUGGUAGUGGGGGAUAACGUCCGGAAACGGGCGCUAAUACCGCAUACGUCCUGAGGGAGAAAGUGGGGGAUCUUCGGACCUCACGCUAUCAGAUGAGCCUAGGUCGGAUUAGCUAGCUGGUGGGGUAAAGGCCUACCAAGGCGACGAUCCGUAACUAGUCUGAGAGGAUGAUCAGUCACACUGGAACUGAGACACGGUCCAGACUCCUACGGGAGGCAGCAGUGGGGAAUAUUGGACAAUGGGCGAAAGCCUGAUCCAGCCAUGCCGCGUGUGUGAAGAAGGUCUUCGGAUUGUAAAGCACUUUAAGUUGGGAGGAAGGGCAGUAAGUUAAUACCUUGCUGUUUUGACGUUACCAACAGAAUAAGCACCGGCUAACUUCGUG